rnacentral:rRNA from 1 species
UACGGGGGGGGCAAGCGUUGUUCGGAAUUACUGGGCGUAAAGGGCUCGUAGGCGGCCAACUAAGUCGGAUGUGAAAUCCCCAGGCUUAACCUGGGAACUGCAUCCGAUACUGGAUGGCUUGAAUCCGGGAGAGGGAUGUGGAAUUCCAGGUGUAGCGGUGAAAUGCGUAGAUAUCUGGAGGAACACCGGUGGCGAAGGCGACAUCCUGGUCCAGCACCGACGUUCAGGCACGAAAGCGUGGGGAGCAAACAGG